rnacentral:rRNA from 1 species
UACGUAGGGUGCGAGCGUUAAUCGGAAUUACUGGGCGUAAAGCGUGCGCAGGCGGUUAUGUAAGACAGUUGUGAAAUCCCCGGGCUCAACCUGGGAAUUGCAUCUGUGACUGCAUAGCUAGAGUACGGUAGAGGGGGAUGGAAUUCCGCGUGUAGCAGUGAAAUGCGUAGAUAUGCGGAGGAACACCGAUGGCGAAGGCAAUCCCCUGGACCUGUACUGACGCUCAUGCACGAAAGCGUGGGGAGCAAACGAGGAUUACGAA